rnacentral:rRNA from 1 species
UACGUAGGGUGCGAGCGUUGUCCGGAAUUAUUGGGCGUAAAGAGCUUGUAGGUGGCUCGUCGCGUCGGGAGUGAAAACCCGCGGCUUAACCGCGGGCCUGCUUUCGAUACGGGCGGGCUAGAGUUCGGCAGGGGAGACUGGAAUUCCUGGUGUAGCGGUGGAAUGCGCAGAUAUCAGGAGGAACACCGGUGGCGAAGGCGGGUCUCUGGGCCGAUACUGACACUGGGAAGCGAAAGCGUGGGGAGCGAACAGG